rnacentral:rRNA from 1 species
UACAGAGGUCCCAAGCGUUGUUCGGAUUCACUGGGCGUAAAGGGUGCGUAGGUGGUCGGGUAAGUCUGAUGUGAAAUCUCCGAGCUCAACUCGGAAAUGGCAUUGGAUACUAUUCGGCUAGAGAGUCGGAGGGGGGACUGGAAUACUUGGUGUAGCAGUGAAAUGCGUAGAUAUCAAGUGGAACACCAGUGGCGAAGGCGAGUCCCUGGACGACUUCUGACACUGAGGCACGAAAGCUAGGGGAGCAAACAGG